UAGCUCAGUUGGUAGAGCAUCUGACUUUUAAUCAGAGGGUCGCUGGUUCGAACCCAGC
rnacentral:tRNA from 1 species